AAUUUCACGAGUCGCCUAGGAGAAUGACAACAAAGAAUCGCAAUACUGUACCAGGCACUAGCAGGCGGAAUAUAUCACAGGUGUUUCACCAGGAACUACGUCAUUAGGUAUUGACAGUCUUUGAGGGCGGAGGUCUACUGUGGAUUACAUAACUAAAAUUUGAAGUAAAUAAGAAGAAAACACUUGCAUAAAGUGACAAGCAAUCAUAAACGUUUCGUUUAUCAAGAAUGGUUCAUGAACGACUGAAUACUUCUGGAGCUAUUAUCAUGUCAGGAGAAGACACCACUCGUCCAUCGACCACAUCACCGAAAGCAACCAGAAUCCACGAAUCACAAUCAGAGUCUGCGAUGUUUCAGAAAUGGAUGGCUAUUACAAAAAGCGCAAACGAUUUACGAACAAUGGGCGAUUGUUGCGCAAGGCGACAGAGUUUGGGAAAAAUCGCUGAUACAACUGAACAAACUUUGCGAAAAUCUAUUUAUAGAAGAAGUGACUCAUUUCUUUUUAUACCAGAAGGACAACCAGUACGAACUUGUACUCUAUGUGAGGGGAGUCGAGUAGACUCUGAUGACACAGGAUUAUGUUUUAAUGAUCCUCCUUCACCAUCUCAUUCUCACACACAUUCAAAAAGAAAAAAUACAUGCUGAGAUUUUAAUACCUUCUACCUGUAUUUAUCAUACAAUGCCAUUUUGCCUUGAAUAUGCUGUUUUUUUUAUAUGAAAUAGACUUUGCAAGUUGUGUAUUAAUACCAAGAAUUAUGAAAAACUACGUCACACACAAUACGGUAUAUCUACCAUCCACUGUUACUGUAUAAAUCUAGUGUUGGUGAUUUUUUUUCAGCUGUUCGUCUUUCAGUGGUCAGUGUGUGUUUGACUGAUGCAUGACCAAACCAAAUACAGCUUGUGCAUGUAUAUGACGUAAUUAUUUUUUGUUUUAAAAUGCAUUUUUUUUUUCAUUUGACUUUGAAAUGCCUUUCCAUUUUCUUAUGCAUAUUUUUUCUUCUGUCCAUUUGAAUUAAAAAAUUUCAACAUUUUAUCAUUGGUCAAUUGUAAGUUGCCUGUAACACUAAUCAGCUCUCUAGAAACUGCUAUUUUGAUUGGCAUAGCCAAUAUACAUGUGUGAAUGAAAGCGCGAAUUUUGUAUAUUAUUUUUCAUCUUUAUUAUUGCAAAUUUUAUUUGUACAUGUCUGAAUAGUGUUAUUAAAUACAUGAUGAAAAUAA